rnacentral:lncRNA from 1 species
UUUAUUUCUUGUUCAGUUUCAGUCUUACUGAAGCAGCUUAGCAUUCAAUCUGCAGCCACCUACUCCCAGGGAGAGCCAUUGUUUAAUAUUAAUGUUCACCUAAAUUGAAGCAACGCCCUGCUGCCUUCACAGCCAUUCAAGGAGAAAUUCUCACCCUCAGAGAGAGGUAAAGAGAGAAAAAGAAUAAAGUGUGCCUGCUUGCUUACCCGCCUGACACAAUGUUCUGGGAAAGGAAACAAUGUUCUCUCCCUAAAAAGUCUCUUUCCAGGAUCAACUUCAGCUGCAAAUAAAUCUGUACCCAGGUGUUUGGAUGAGAUCAUGAUGUCACAUCACUCAAGAGAACUGACUGGCACUGCCAUCUGGCUGCUCCUGGAUUAGUCAUGUCUCACCAAGCAGGUCACAAUUUCAUUUGUUUUAUAACUGAAAUAAAAGUCAUUAACAUUUGAGCAGAACAUGUAUAUAUGUAUAUAUAAUGUAUAUAUGUAUAAUAUAAAUGUAUAUAUAUAUUUAUGCAUUUU